GUGGAGCAGUUGGUAGCUCGUCGGGCUCAUAACCCGAAGGUCGUAGGUUCAAAUCCUACC
rnacentral:tRNA from 1 species